rnacentral:rRNA from 1 species
AUUGAACGCUCGCGGCAUGCCUUACACAUGCAAGUCGAACGGCAGCACGGGGCAACCUGGUGGCGAGUGGCGAACGGGUGAGUAAUGUAUCGGAACGUGCCCAGUAGCGGGGGAUAACUACGCGAAAGCGUAGCUAAUACCGCAUACGCCCUACGGGGGAAAGGGGGGGAUCGCAAGACCUCUCACUAUUGGAGCGGCCGAUAUCGGAUUAGCUAGUUGGUGAGGUAAAGGCUCACCAAGGCUUCGAUCCGUAGCUGGUUUGAGAGGACGACCAGCCACACUGGGACUGAGACACGGCCCAGACUCCUACGGGAGGCAGCAGUGGGGAAUUUUGGACAAUGGGGGCAACCCUGAUCCAGCAAUGCCGCGUGUGCGAAGAAGGCCUUCGGGUUGUAAAGCACUUUUGGCGGGAACGAAACGGUGCCGGAUAAUACCUGGCGCCACUGACGGUACCCGCAGAAUAAGCACCGGCUAACUACGUG